rnacentral:rRNA from 1 species
AGUGAACGCUGGCGGUAGGCCUAACACAUGCAAGUCGAACGGCAGCACAGUAAGAGCUUGCUCUUACGGGUGGCGAGUGGCGGACGGGUGAGGAAUACAUCGGAAUCUACUUUUUCGUGGGGGAUAACGUAGGGAAACUUACGCUAAUACCGCAUACGACCUACGGGUGAAAGCAGGGGAUCUUCGGACCUUGCGCGAUUGAAUGAGCCGAUGCCGUAUUAGCUAGUUGGCGGGGUAAAGGCCCACCAAGGCGACGAUCCGUAGCUGGUCUGAGAGGAUGAUCAGCCACACUGGAACUGAGACACGGUCCAGACUCCUACGGGAGGCAGCAGUGGGGAAUAUUGGACAAUGGGCGCAAGCCUGAUCCAGCCAUACCGCGUGGGUGAAGAAGGCCUUCGGGUUGUAAAGCCCUUUUGUUGGGAAAGAAAAGCAGCAGGUUAAUACCCCGCUGUUCUGACGGUACCCAAAGAAUAAGCACCGGCUAACUUCGUG